rnacentral:rRNA from 1 species
AUCUAGUCUGAUCUCAAAAGCUAAGCACAGGCGGGCCUGGUUAGUCCUUGGAUGGGAGA